rnacentral:rRNA from 1 species
CCUACGGGAGGCUGCAGUGAGGAAUAUUGGUCAAUGGGCGUAAGCCUGAACCAGCCAAGUCGCGUGAGGGAUGAAGGUUCUAUGGAUCGUAAACCUCUUUUAUAAGGGAAUAAAGUGUGGGACGUGUCCUGUUUUGUAUGUACCUUAUGAAUAAGGAUCGGCUAACUCCGUGCCAGCAGCCGCGGUAAUACGGAGGAUCCGAGCGUUAUCCGGAUUUAUUGGGUUUAAAGGGUGCGUAGGCGGCCGUUUAAGUCAGCGGUGAAAGUCUGUGGCUCAACCAGAGAAUUGCCAUUGAAACUGGGAGGCUUGAGUAUGUUUGAGGCAGGCGGAAGGCGUGGUGUAGCGGUGAAAUGCUUAGAUAUCACGCAGAACCCCGAUUGCGAAGGCAGCCUGCCAAGCCAUGACUGACGCUGAUGCACGAAAGCGUGGGGAUCAAACAGGAUUAGAUACCCGGGUAGUC